UACGUAGGGGGCAAGCGUUGUCCGGAUUUAUUGGGCGUAAAGAGCGUGUAGGCGGUUUGGUAGGUCCGUUGUGAAAACUCGAGGCUCAACCUCGAGACGCCGAUGGAAACCAUCAGACUAGAGUCCGGAAGAGGAGAGUGGAAUUCCUGGUGUAGCGGUGAAAUGCGCAGAUAUCGGGAAGAACACCCGUGGCUAAGGCGGCUCUCUAGUACGGUACUGACGCUGAGACGCGAAAGCGUGGGGAGCGAACAGG
rnacentral:rRNA from 1 species